CCUGCAUGAAGUCGGAAUUGCUAGUAAUCGCAGAUCAGCAUGCUGCGGUGAAUACGUUCCCGGGCCUUGUACACACCGCCCGUCACACCAUGGGAGUCGGUAACACCCGAAGUCAGGAGCCUGACCUUUUUAGGAGGGCACUGCCGAAGGUGGGAUUGAUGACUGGGGUGAAGUCGUAACAAGGUAAC
rnacentral:rRNA from 1 species